rnacentral:rRNA from 1 species
AUGAACGCUGGCGGCGUGCUUAACACAUGCAAGUCGAACGAACCUUCGGGUUAGUGGCGGACGGGUGAGUAACGCGUGAGAAUCUGCCCUCAGGAGGGGGAUAACGGCUGGAAACGGCCGCUAAUACCCCAUAUGCCGAGAGGUGAAAUGAAUUUCGCCUGAGGAUGAGCUCGCGUCUGAUUAGCUAGUUGGUGGGGUAAGAGCCUACCAAGGCUUCGAUCAGUAGCUGGUCUGAGAGGAUGAUCAGCCACACUGGGACUGAGACACGGCCCAGACUCCUACGGGAGGCAGCAGUGGGGAAUUUUCCGCAACGGGCGAAAGCCUGACGGAGCAACGCCGCGUGAGGGAUGAAGGCCUCUGGGCUGUAAACCUCUUUUCUCAAGGAAGAAGACCUGACGGUACUUGAGGAAUAAGCC